GGUCAGAUGGUGGAGUGGUCUAACACGACAGACUCAAGUUCUGUUCUCGCAAGAGGCGUGGGUUCGAAUCCCACUCUGAUCA
rnacentral:tRNA from 1 species